rnacentral:rRNA from 1 species
GGAUUAGAUACCCUGGUAGUCCACGCCGUAAACGAUGAUUACUGGUUGUGUGCGAUAUACAGUGCGCGACUGAGGGAAACCAUUAAGUAAUCCACCUGGGGAGUACGUUCGCAAGAAUGAAACUCAAAGGAAUUGACGGGGGCCCGCACAAGCGGAGGAACAUGUGGUUUAAUUCGAUGAUACGCGAGGAACCUUACCUGGGCUUAAAUGUAGAGUGCAUGGCUUGGAAACAGGCCUUUCCUUCGGGACUCUUUACAAGGUGCUGCAUGGUUGUCGUCAGCUCGUGCCG